rnacentral:lncRNA from 1 species
AUGGUUUAUGAUUUUGCAGAGUUGUGCCAAAAAAAUUACAAGAAAAUUAGAAGCAUCAUUUUCUUUGGUUGUUUUGGUAAAUUAGAAGGACCACAGCUGGAACACAAGAGCUUUCAAUUGAUGGUGGUGGACAGUGAGAGUCCAUCGUUGCAGAGUUGUGGUGAUGAAAUAAUGAUAAAUGAUGAUGCAAAAUGCAGCUGUUUCUUGAAAAGGAUGGUUUUCAAUGCUGUCAAGCUUUUGACUAUGAAAAAAAUAAAGCAUUACGUGGAGAAAGGAAUUCAAGAAAAGAACACAUCGUUUUUCUUUUUCUGCUCUUUUUUUUUUAUUUUUGUCCAAGUAUUAAUUUUUGGUU